CGGACGGGUGAGUAAUGUCUGGGAAACUGCCCGAUGGAGGGGGAUAACUACUGGAAACGGUAGCUAAUACCGCAUAACGUCGCAAGACCAAAGAGGGGACCUUCGGGCCUCUUGCCAUCGGAUGUGCCCAGAUGGGAUUAGCUAGUAGGUGGGGUAACGGCUCACCUAGGCGACGAUCCCUAGCUGGUCUGAGAGGAUGACCAGCCACACUGGAACUGAGGCACGGUCCAG
rnacentral:rRNA from 1 species